rnacentral:rRNA from 1 species
UCCAGAGGGGGCAAGCGUUAUUCGGAAUUAUUGGGCGUAAAGGGCGCGUAGGCGGCUUUGUAAGUGACGGGUGAAAUCCCUCGGCUUAACCGGGGAACUGCCUGUCAAACUGCAUGGCUUGAGCCCGGGAGAGGUGAGUGGAAUUCCCAGUGUAGCGGUGAAAUGCGUAGAUAUCAGGAGGAACACCGGUGGCGAAGGCGGAUCUCUGGGCCGUAACUGACGCUGAGGAGCGAAAGCAUGGGGAGCGAACAGG